CCUCCAAAUAUUAUCUUCAUCCUGGUUGACGAUCUUGGCUGGAACGACGUGAGCUUCCAUGGCUCGCGGCAGAUCCCCACGCCAAACAUCGACGCUCUAGCGGCUAGCGGCAUCAUCCUCCAGCGACACUACACGUCGCCAGACUGCACGCCUUCCCGGACAGCUCUGCUCACAGCGCGCUACCCGUCGCGCACCGACGUGGGAUACGAAGUGUUCCCGCCAGCAGCGGAA
rnacentral:lncRNA from 1 species